AACGAACGCUGGCGGCGCGUUUUAAGCAUGCAAGUCGAACGGGAUUUGUCCUUCGGGAUGAUGAGAGUGGCGAACGGGUGAGUAACACGUAGAUGAUCUACCUUGAAGUUGGGGAUAGCUCGUAGAGAUACGGGGUAAUACCGGAUAAUCUCUUUUUGCUUUGGCGAGAUGAGGAAAGGGGCUUCGGCCCUGCUUUGAGAUGAGUCUGCGGCUGAUUAGCUAGUUGGUAGGGUAAAGGCCUACCAAGGCGACGAUCAGUAGCCGGCCUGAGAGGGUGACCGGCCACAUUGGGACUGAGACACGGCCCAAACUCCUACGGGAGGCAGCAGCUAAGAAUCUUCCGCAAUGGGCGCAAGCCUGACGGAGCGACGCCGCGUGGACGAAGGAUGCCGAGAGGUUGUAAAGUCCUUUUAUAUGCGAAGAAUAAUACGGGUAGGAAAUGACCUGUAGAUGACGUUAGCUUAUGAAUAAGCUCCGGCCAAUUACGUGCCAGCAGCCGCGGUAACACGUAAGGAGCGAGCGUUGUUCGGAAUUAUUGGGCGUAAAGGGCACGUAGGCGGUUUUGUAAGUCUGGUGUGAAAUACCGCUGCUUAACAGCGGAGACGCACUGGAAACUGUAAGACUAGAAUCAGUGAGGGGUAACCGGAAUUCCUGGUGUAGGGGUGAAAUCUGUUGAUAUUAGGAAGAACACCGAUGGCGAAGGCAGGUUACUGGUGCAUGAUUGACGCUGAUGUGCGAAAGCGUAGGUAGCGAACAGGAUUAGAUACCCUGGUAGUCUACGCUGUAAACGAUGUACACUUGGUGUUGGGGUUUCUAAGCCUCAGUGCCGGAGCUAACGCGUUAAGUGUACCGCCUGGGGAGUAUGCCGGCAACGGUG
rnacentral:rRNA from 1 species